AAUAAUUUAUAUGUAGUGUCACCGUGUUAGUCAUUUCCAUUCAUUUAACUAUUCACAUGUACAUUGUUGCAGAUAUUCUUUAUUAUUCCAUCAUCAUCUCAAUUAAACCUCUUGGGUAUAGUGUUUGAGUGCUACUGUGACCAUAAAUUCCAACAAAACCUAGGAAAAAAUGAAACUACUAAUAACUGAAAGGGUCAGGUGGAUCCCACAUAUACCUGCAGUCCAUGCAUUGAUAGUGAAUAAUACAUGAGAGUUGAAGCUCCAGUUAUGUAAAUCAAAAGAAUGCGACAGGAGACAAACUUAUGCUUCCAGGAAAACGGAGUAGACGUACUUCUCCCAAUUCUUUCUACUAAAUACAGCUAAAAGCCUGGGCAUUAAAUAUAAAAUAAAUGCAAAAAUACCAUGAAUCUUGGAGAGAAGAAAGCAGACCAAGUAGGUACUUUGGAGCAAAAAGCAACACAUUGUGGAGAAUUUUCACCUUUUUACUUGAAGGAAGCAUGUGACAGCUUCGCUUGGGCAUAUCAGAAUUGCCAGCAUCACUACUCUUGCACUUUGGGGCCAUUAUUAAGUGAAAUAAGGAUUACUUGAACACAAGCACUGCGAUACUGCUACAGUCAAUGUGAUAACGCAGCUGGUGACUAAGUGACCAAGGAUGGGGAGCUUCUACAGCGGGGAGACUCUGGAAAAAGGGAGGAUUCACAUCCAGUGGCAUUGGGACAGGACAGAGUGAGAGUUCAUCAUGCUACACAGAACAGCAUACAAUACUUUGAAAACUAGGAUAUUCUAAAUUCAGGAAGACAGCUCAAGUGAUAGAAAUAAUGGGACAGGAAGUAAGAAGACAGUUCUGGUCUCAAGUUCUUCUCUGACAGCUCACAAACUAGUUAAUAUGUAAGUUUGAAAUAUGAUUUCUGUAUUUUAUUGCAAAUUUCAAAUAGAUAUUUAUUUCCAGCUUCAUUGAGGUAUA